AUAAAAGUAAUUUUGUAAAAGCGAUCUUCCAUCUAUCUUUUGUUUUCCAUAGCUACCAGUUUCAUAAGCUUUUAGCAAAGAAAUGCCAACAGAGAAACACGUUUAUGCAAUUUGUCAUUUCAAUUAAUCCAUAUCUUACAGCUACAGACCUGGAAAGAUGAAGAGGCAACCGCAAGAAGGAGUAGGAGAGCCUUCCAGAUUCAUUAUGCUGCAUACAUGUUAAGUGGUGAUAUGUUUCUCCAUGCCCCAGUGGGAUACAUAGGAGUCACUGAAACCCAGAAUUUUCCAUCAGCAUUAGUAUGUGAUUGUGCGUAAAUGAUAUUCAUGCACCAACAGCCUUUCUUGUCAGAGAACAAAUAGACAAGGCAUUUGUUACUCGGAGACCUUCUGCUGACUAAAAACAACUGUAGUCAAUCAUAUUAAGGAUCUGGCAGUUUGUAGCACAGACUUUUCAUUUUAUAGACAGGUAGUUGAUGAAGAAAGUUUUAGGAAAGGCUUUGCAUACGAUUAUAAGAAAAAUGCUGUGUUAUUAAAACGUCAUCAUUAGCACUGUGUACAACAGGCAUUUGAUACAUAUAGAAAUGGCUGCUUGUUGCAACUGGUCCAAGCAAAGAAAAGGCUGGUGGUAGAAUGGAAGAUUGGAAAUGAGCUUUACGUGACUUUUUUGAACAGUGGGUGUUCUGUAUAAUUUUUCAGAUUAUUUACUCCCUGCCUCUAUGAAACGACCUCUUUGUAUUUGGUGAUUGUAUUUCUUGGGAGAUCCAGCAGUCCUGAGGACUUAAGGAAGAAGAAAUGAAAACCUGUGUGUGUGCUGGAGGCUUGAGCGGGUCAAUUACAGUUUGAAACAUGAGGGGUGUUUUUGACUGGAAUUUUCUUAACAUGUACUUGGAAUGCUGUAAGUAGCAGUACCUGGGUGAGAAAGCUGCUUUUAGCUAGAAUUUUGAAUGGCUUCCUUUUUGGACCAGUGAGGAAGUAUUUUCCUAUCUCUUUGUAUGUAAAAAGACACACAUAUGGAUUACUCCAGGUACUGAUGAGUUGGUGUUAGUAUUCCUUUGUGAGUUUAAUAUAGAAAACAGGUAUCAGAGUGCUCUUCUUGUGCCUUUCUCAUUCUGUUCAUAUUGAUGGGUAGGAGUAUGGUUGCACAUCACUGAAGAGUAAGCUGUAAGUUUUAGUGGACUCAAAUUCUGCUAUUAGCUCCAAGAUCACACGAACAAAACUUUAUCCACUUUUAUUUCUUUACAUCUUUGUAUCUCUUAUUCUUGCAAGUUGGGACAGAAAAAGAUUCCAAACUUAGAGAUUUUAUAUUUUGAAUCAUCUUUUGAGUUUGAUACUGUAGUAAAGGAUAAACAGCAAUAAUGGUUUUAAUACUGUGGCACGUGAUGGGCUCUCCUGCAAAGGUCCCAUUUGAAACACUAGCAGUACAAGGUGGGGGUAUUUCAGGGAGAAGGGGAAAUCCUGAGCCUUCUCCUCAUUCCUUUGCUGUGAGAAGCAGUCAUUCAAGGAGGACGUAGCUCCACUGCACACACGGUUCUCUGGAAAAAGUACAGCUGCUCCUUCUUAAUGGGUAUUACCUGGGCCACUGAUCACCUGUAGACUGCUUCAGCACUGGGAGCCUGGGCUCAUUGUGAAACUAACAAAUUGCCUCUGUGUCCCCAGCUGGUAGUGCUUUGCUGGUACCAGCACCUGCCUACAAUCAGCUUCUGGGUGGAGCUGGGCACUGGACGAGGGCUAUUUCCCCUUUGCUGCUGGGUCUGUGUGUGCUUGUGCCAUUAUUUGCUUGUAUGGUAUCAGAGGCGGUGGUGUUCUGAAAAGUAUUGCUUUUCAGAGUGUGUCUAGAAACAGGAGAGUGCUGAAAGCUGCUUGAAUGAGACGGAAAGCAAAGAAGAGCAAGAAAGAAAAAGUUCUUUUUGGCAUCGGACAGCAUUCACACGAAUGACCUGCUCUUUCUCCCUCCAAAAUUAUGGAUUUUGAUUAAUGAAAUGAGGAAGCCAGACUACUUUGUUUUCUACAUCACAUCUAUUAGUUGCUGCAGCCGCAAGGGGCAAGGAAGAUGAGGAGAGAAACAUGUCUCAAAUGGGGCAAGAAGCAGAUGGACAGAGGAAAAACAUGUUUUUCAGAAAUGAAACCAUUUCUGACCAUCUUCAAUACAGCAGAAACCCAGCAGGGCUGCAAGUGAAGAAAAGUCUCCCAGGACUCCUAUUCUUCAUUGGCUUCACCUGGGGAACAAUGGAGAUUUCCUAUGCUGAAGUAAUAUAGGCUCCCAAUGUUCUUCAAAUAUAAGAAUCUAGGCAUGACUUGAGAAGUAUUUUAUAGUAGCAUUACCUAUGGAUGAAUCCUUAUAUAUCUAUUUGUUUAUAAAUUUUCAGAUGUUGACCAAAUUGUUCAGAACUAGUAACUAGAAGUGAAAAGUUCAUCCCAAUAUAUCCUAAAUAAAAAGCUGGUUUUGGUGGUUCGUGUUAGAUGCAUAAUUUUGGUUCUUUCUGUUAUACGUAAUUAUUUCUUUGUUUCACAGAACAAGAAUACCUUUCUCCGGAGACCUUUCUCCAAUCUGCAGCAAAGAGAGUUUGGUGAUAGCACACGACUUUUCUAUUUUUUCUAGUGGCUACAUACUGUUGAAUAAGGUGGUAUUAGUGCUGAUUUAGGAGUUUAGCAUGAAAAAAAAUUCUGGAAUCAGUUGAGGGUGUUCAAAUGUAGGAACUGAAAGGUGCUGUGUUUCAUGUUUCUUUUUGUUAUUUUUGCAACUAGCAGCAGAGCUCUGGUAAGUGAUAGGACAAGAACAGCAGGAGAAAAGACAAACCAUGUGAAAA